GCAGCGGCGGCGACCGGCGGCGGGGAAAGGCGACGGCGGCGGGGCAAAUCAAGACGGCGCCGACGAGAUCCUCCUCCGGCGACUGGUCCCCGAUACCUGCCCCUUGGCCUAUUGUUGGAUUGGAUCAACCACCUCCAUCUUGGGAACUUGUGAGAACUCCUGAUUUUGUGCUGCAAUGAAUACACAAAGGCUAGAGCUUAUUAGGAAGAGGAGAGAGGAAGACGAUGAGGAGUUCAUGUUCUUACUUUUACCAAUAUUGCACUAUCACAAAAGGAGUAGAAGAGGGAAAGUAGAGAGAACGCAGCGGCAUAGCUCCGUCUUGUAUGGCAUGCAACGUGUUCAAGGAAUCCUUGACGGACAUGUUAAGAAUUGCCGGGUAGCCUAUAGGAUGGAGCCACACAUUUUUAGAUCCUUAGCAUC